rnacentral:lncRNA from 1 species
GUUGAAAAUGUAGGGGAAAAAAAAAAAAAAGAGUAGCCGGGCGUGGUGGCGCACGCCUUUAAUCCCAGCACUUGGGAGGCAGAGACAGGCGGAUUUCUGAGUUCGAGGCCAGCCUGGUCUACAAAAUGAGUUCCAGGACAGCCAAGACUAUACAGAGAAACCCUGUCUCGAAAAACCAAAAAAAAAAAAAAAAAAAAAAAAAGAAAGAAAAUGUAGUACCAACCCACGUGUUGAGCUUGGAGUCAGUUCCUGUGCUGUUGGUAUUCCACUUAAAAUACCAACACUGGUGUUCUUGCCAGCCACAGUGGCACUCAGCAGGCAGAGACAGGUGGAUCUCUGAGUUUAAGGUCAGCCUGGUGUAUAGAGCGAGUUCCAGGACAGCCAGUACUAUACAGAGAAACCUUAUCUCAAAAAAGUUCUUACCUACCCAGUAUAUUUAACGGUAUUCUCUGUAUUUUCUUCUAAAAGUUUCAGGUUUUAAGUUAAGGUCUUUGAUCCACUUUACAUUGAUUUUUUUUUUUAAUGCAGGUGAAAAAUAAAAAUCUAAUUUGUUCUCUGUGGAAAGAAAUCCAGUUGUACCAUCACUGUUUGUUGACUAGACCAUUUUUUUUCUCCAAGGAUGCUUUUGCCUCCUUGUUUCCAUGUAGGCUAGAUAGCAGUGACUGUGUAGUUAGAGAGAAAGAGGGUGAAGGGAAGAGUGUUCUUGUUUUAUCCAACUCAGGUUGACAGCCUUAGAACAAGUGCUGUUAUCUGCUGAGCCGGAUCUAACUUGUUUUGUAUGGAAUCAGGGUCAUGUAGCCAACGCGACAGGUGUGAGAUCCUGAUGUUUAAUGGGUGAAUGAUGUUUCUAACAGUAGUGAGCUGAGUAGUAUGAAGACACAUAUGACGCUCGAGACCAGAAAGUCCUGCACUGUCUUCUAGGUGUGUAAAGAUCACACCACUGUCGGCCUGAAGGCUGACUUAACUCUUGCUAGAUUUUAGCCCCUUUCUUUUCUUUUUCAUUUCUUUCUUUCUUUCUUUCUUUCUUUCUUUCUUUCUUUUUUUCUGAGACAGGCUCUCUGGUGAUCCUAAACUUUGCAAGUUAGCUGGCUGGCUAGCUAGUUGGCCUGUGAGCCCUGAAAUGUACCAGCUGUUUUGGAAUUUGAAGCCUGCACCACUAUGUCCCACCCCCUCUUCUUUUUUCACAUGGAUUCUGGGGAUGAAACUCUGUCCUUGUAUUUGCCAGGCAGGUGCUUUACCAGCUGACCAUCUCCCCAGCCCUGCACAGAGGUUUCUUGUUUUUGUUUGAGACAGGUUUCAUGUAGCCUAGGCUAGUCUUGAACUCAAUCCUCCUGCCUCCUUCUACUAAGUUUCUGGGGUUACAAACAUAAGCUACCACACCUGGCUACAAAAAAUUUGAAGACUGAAAAUAUAUUGAAUUUUAAGUGAAUAAUAGAGAAUUUUUCUAGUUUCAGACCAAUGCAUCUGAAAUCCUGUUAAAGGAAAAUUAAAAUGAAAUUGAUUUGAACAUCUAAAAAGAGCUUGUGCUUUAUUCUGUAGAUAUUUAUUUUGUAAACUCUGGCUUUCCAUGAGAAUAAUUUGAGGAGGAAAGAAGUGUGAUGGUAUCAGAAAGACAACACUGACAGUGGCUAGAACACAUUGCAGUUACAGCUAUGUGCUAGGAACUCCUGUUCUUCCCUGUAGUUUUUAAUUGGGGGGACAGUGUGUGGACAUGAGUGCAGAUGCCUGUGGAGGGUAGAGGCGCCUCCCAAACUGAUGUUACAAGUAGUUGUGAGCCUGUGGAUGUGGGUGCUGGAAAUUUAACUCCAUUCCUUUGCAAGAGCAGAACAAGCUCUUAAUUGCUGAGCCACAUCUCCAGUCCUUGACUCUUCUUUUAAAUGAAGAAACACACUGAGCACUGUACAAAAUAUAAAUAAAUAGAUUGUCUUCCUGCAAGAGUCAUUGUUCAAGACACAGCUGGUUCAGGGAUUUGAACCCAAGUCCUUGGCAGUUGUCUUGUGUUCCCAGGGGUGAUAGUUGUUUAAAGAAGGUAAUACUGAAACGGGAUGAUUACAGCACAGCUUUCAGGUAGGAGGAUUGCAGGACUACCGAGGACACUGUUUAUACAUUUAAAGGAGUCUUCUCCUUCUCCACAGUCUUGUGUGCUUGACCUCAUCUCUCAUGUCUUCUCAGCAAGGACUGGUUCCUGGACAAGAAACAAACAUAAACAAAAUUAUACACAUAUACAAAAAUGACAUAAUGGAAGCUAUUAUUUUGCAUGAUUAGAAAAUGAACUCUUGAUUGUUUGGGUUGCUUUUAUAGAGGACCUGGGUUUGAUUUCCCAGCACCAUAUGAUGACUCACAGUCUUCUGUAACUUCCAGUUUUCAGGAUCCAGUGCCUUCUUUUGACUUCCCUGGGUUUUAGGCACAUACAUAUAUUUAAGCAAAACACUCAUACAUAUAAAGUUAAUGUAAUUUUUUUUCUUUUAAGUGAACUUUAAGGCGUUGGAGAAAUGACUUGGUAAGGUGCUCCCCACACCUGAGAACUUGAGUGUGACUCCUAGCAUCUAUGUCAAAAGUCAAGUGUGGCAGCACACACCUGUACUUCCAGUGUGAGAAAGAAAAUACGACUGAUCCCUCUGGUUUGAUGACCAGCCCUAGCUGGAUCAUGAAUUCCAGACCGAGAAAUCCUGUCUCAAAAAACUAAAGUGGAGGGUGAUUGAGGACACUACCCUACAUCGAUCUCUGGCAUCUGUGUGCAAGGAGAAGUAAACUUUGAGGACUGAGGCUAUUGCUUAGUUGGUAGAGUGCUUGCCUGGCAUGCACUGAGUCCUUGGUUCAACUCCAGCACCGUGUACCACGGUAAGGGUACAGGUCUGUGAUCUUGCACUUGGGUCACAGACAGAAGGUCUGAAGUUCAUCCUCAGCUGAGCAGUGAGUUUAUAGCCGGCUUGAGAUGUAAGAGUCUCUGUCUCAGAAAGCCAGACACAAGCUGGAAAGCCAAUCCAUCCUAUCCCUCAGUGGAUUUUAGUUUAAGCUGGUAAUAAGACAAAAUAAAAUUCAAGAGGAGGCUUUUUUUAGGAUAAUAAUAAAUUGCAUGAGAUAAUGUAUACAUGUAUACAUUAUAUAUGUGUUGUGUCAUAUUACCUUACUAUUGUCAAGCUGAAAAUACUGUUAUGUCUGUACAAUGAGACGUCUUUUGGGGAGGCUCGUUUUUCUCUUUUUUUUAUGCUCUGAACUAGUAGCUUGGCUCAAAAACAAUUAUGUGGAAACUUUAAGGGAAAGUUUUUUAAGGAGUGAAAAUUUUGUUAUGGACUAAAGUUUGUUUUCUUUUAUUUGAGUCAGGGUCUUUCUAUUUCUGGCUGGCCUAGAAUUUACUCUGUAGACCAGACUGGCUUGGAACUCUCAGAGAUCUUCCUGCCUCUGUCUCCCGAGUGCUAGAAUCAAAGGCAUGUCCUCUGGCCCUAAUCUCGCUUUGUUUAUGAGCUGUUCUGUAAAUUGUUUAGAUUCACUGACCAGUAGUCACUUAAGACCUCCCCAAUGUGGACUGCAUUCGAAUCACUAGUGCAGCUGUUAACUUGUGCACCUGUGAUCUGGUAUGAUUAAAAGCCAUUUCUUCUCUGUCCUUACAGAAGACACUGUUAAUACAGUUGUCUUCAAAAUACAAAAGAGAAAGGAAUUUCUAGGAUUGGAGAGGAACUCUUGUUCUUGCAGAGGUCUAGGUUCUGUUCCCAACACCCACAGGGCAGCUAGCUCACAAUUAUCUGAAACUCAAAUUCCAAGGGAUCCAAAAGCCUACACUGACCAACUUGGCCACCAAGCAUGCAUAUGGUAUACAGACAUGCAUGCAGAUGAAACACCCAGCACUUAAAUAAAUCUAAGAAACAUUUUUCUUUUAAAAAGGAACUCCUUUGGUUGGUAACUUUGCCCUUUUAAUCAUUUAAACCAAUUCUGCAAAAAUUUAUUAGAAGUCUAUUAUACACACACACAGUAGGUUCCUGUGAACUAUAUCAGUACGUCUUAUAGGAAGAGAGUAUUUAUAAAUCUCAGAUUGUAUACAUUUCAGUAUAUAUUUAAAUUAUACCAAACCUUAAGUAUAUACCAGGUUUUCAAUACAUAUUUUUACUAUAUGUGCCUUUAUUGGGGAGGUCUGUAGUUUUCACAAGAUUUCUAAAAGAGUGUAAGUAGGUUUGGUGAUGGUGGCGCACGCCUUUAACCCCAGCACUCUGAAGCAGAGACAGGCAGAUCUCUGAGUUUGAGGCUAGCCUGGUCUACAGACCAAGUUCCAGGACAGGCAGGGCUACACAGAGAAACCCCAUCUUGAAAAACAAAACCAAAAAUAACAACAAAAAGUGUAUACAAAAAGCAAGAGUUU